ACUUUCAACAACGGAUCUCUUGGUUCUGGCAUCGAUGAAGAACGCAGCGAAAUGCGAUAAGUAAUGUGAAUUGCAGAAUUCAGUGAACCAUCGAAUCUUUGAACGCACAUUGCGCCCGCCAGCACUCUGGCGGGCAUGCCUGUCCGAGCGUCAUCUC
rnacentral:rRNA from 1 species